GCUUACGGCCAUACCGCUCUGAUCAAACCCGAUCUCGUCUGAUCUCGGAAUCUAAGCAAAGCCGGGCAUGGUUAGUACUUGAAUGGGAGACUCUGGGAAUACCGUGUGCUGUAAGUU
ensembl:rRNA 5S_rRNA 5S ribosomal RNA